GGAUGAAGAACGCAGUGAAAUGCGAUAAGUAAUGUGAAUUGCAGAAUUCAGUGAAUCAUCGAAUCUUUGAACGCACAUUGCGCCCCUUGGUAUUCCGAGGGGCAUGCCUGUUCGAGCGUCAUAUUAACCACUCCCGCUUGCGGGGUCUUGGGCUUCGCCUCCGGGCGGGCCUUAAAAUCAGUGGCGGUGCCGUCGGGCUCUACGCGUAGUAAAUUUUCUCGCGAUAGGGUCCCGGUGGAUGCUUGCCAACAACCCCCAACUUCUUAAGGUUGACCUCGGAUCAGGUAGGGAUACCCGCUGAACUUAAGCAUAUCAAUAAGCGGAGGA
rnacentral:misc_RNA from 1 species